rnacentral:lncRNA from 1 species
UUAAGUAUCAUUUGUUGUUGUUGUUUUUAGAUAUUUGAAACUGGUGCUAUCAGACUCUAGGAACUGAAAAACCACCCUACUUGCAUUGUCUGAACACAUCGAGGGGGCCUUUUUCUCAUCUAUUGGCAUUUUGUGGCUGUGCACCAUUCUGAUGUGGAACGGAAAAAGAAUUCUCAGCCAUGAUUUAAUGGCUCAGGUGUCAAAGGCAUCUCCAGCUGGUGGUGCUGUUUGAAAUGAGAAGAAACUUGAAGAGGUGAUCCUGGAGUCAGCAGGGUUGUGGCCUUUGAGGAUAGACUUAUUCCUCAACCCCUUCCUUCGCACUGCGUCCAUUCUGUCUUAAACUGAAUGAAGAUUUGCCUACAUGUCCUAUUCUCAGUGUUUUGCUGUUCUGUCCAAAAACAUGCUGCCAAGAAGCAAACUGGCUGAAAUCUGUAGUCAAAAUACAUCCUUCCAUUAAUAAGACGGAUUAACAUAUU